rnacentral:rRNA from 1 species
UACGUAGGGUGCGAGCGUUAAUCGGAAUUACUGGGCGUAAAGCGUGCGCAGGCGGUUUUGUAAGCCAGAUGUGAAAUCCCCGGGCUUAACCUGGGAAUGGCAUUUGGGACUGCAAGGCUUGAGUUUGGCAGAGGAGACUGGAAUUCCUGGUGUAGCAGUGAAAUGCGUAGAUAUCAGGAGGAAUACCGAUGGCGAAGGCAGCUCGCUGGGACGGUACUGACGCUGAGACGCGAAAGCGUGGGGAGCAAACAGG